rnacentral:lncRNA from 1 species
UGGGGAACGUGCGCCCCACGCAGCCCCUACACGGCCGCUCCCUGCGCACCAACAUCCCCCACACGAAAUGCCCAUCCAAGUCUCGCUCGAAGGCACUUUACCGAGUGUCGGAGAGUGACGAUCAAACGUGAUGAUCUUCAGGCAAAGCUUUCUACAGACAAUCAGUUUUUCAUAUAUGUUUUAAUUGA